UAACCUUGGAUUCACAAGACUCUACUGGAAUAGAAAGAACACAUUUUUCUCUUCCCCCCACUGUCCCGGGUGUAUCGCAUGCAUGCUGAUAACUCUGAUGGCCUCUUGCUAGGAGUUGGCAGUGGAAUGAUACCCUUUUGUGACCAAUCGAAUAAUUACUGAAGUUGAAAUUUGUAAUCCUGAUAUCAAAUAUUUUAUAAUGACAUCAAUUUAAACUUAAUACUGCUCUUAUCUUUUGACAAAAAUAAGGUUUAAUAUGUUUUUCUCCUACAGGGGGUGAAAUAAGGAAAGACUUUAUUAUACAAGAUAAUUAAAAUUCUUCCUGAGGUUAAAAGUGAUUUAAAAAGAAUCACAACAUGAGAUAAUUAGACCUUAUUAGACACUUUAUCUGCUUCACUGAAGUCACUUUUUCCAGGAUGAUAAAAUGUGCCUUUGUCUUUUUUUAGAAAGCUGGAUACCAAAUUUGGGGGAAAAAAUGAUCUUUCCUCCUCCUCUUAGACUCAGCACAUGACUGUGUGAAUGGAUUUGUGGAAAUAAUUUAAUGACAGGGUUACAGUUUCCAAAAGCUAGACCUUUAUAGAAUGUGAUGGUUUUCAAGUACUUAUUCAUUUUUCUAGUGGAAUUACAUUUUACCCUCUAUUUUUAGUUGGUUAACAGAAAAUGAUAUGAAUUUGUGUUUUCUGAUUUUUUUUUCUCUUGACAAGCAGAAUAAUAACAGAUUAGUUUUGGAAUAUUUAACAAAAUCCUUUUGUUACUUGACAGACUCAUUUACGCUUUCUUAUGCCAUCACAGAAGGUAUUUUUGCCUGGGAAAUGGGGAAGAUGAUGACAAUAUAUAGAAAUUGA
rnacentral:lncRNA from 1 species